rnacentral:rRNA from 1 species
GAUGAACGCUGGCGGCGUGCCUAAUACAUGCAAGUCGAGCGAACAGAUGAGGAGCUUGCUCCUCUGACGUUAGCGGCGGACGGGUGAGUAACACGUGGAUAACCUACCUAUAGGACUGGGAUAACUUCGGGAAACCGGAGCUAAUACCGGAUAAUAUAUUGAACCGCAUGGUUCAAUAGUGAAAGACGGUUUUGCUGUCACUUAUAGAUGGAUCCGCGCCGCAUUAGCUAGUUGGUAAGGUAACGGCUUACCAAGGCAACGAUGCGUAGCCGACCUGAGAGGGUGAUCGGCCACACUGGAACUGAGACACGGUCCAGACUCCUACGGGAGGCAGCAGUAGGGAAUCUUCCGCAAUGGGCGAAAACCUGACGGAGCAACGCCGCGUGAGUGAUGAAGGUCUUCGGAUCGUAAAACUCUGUUAUUAGGGAAGAACAAAUGUGUAAGUAACUAUGCACGUCUUGACGGUACCUAAUCAGAAAGCCACGGCUAACUACGUG